GGGGCGGGACCAGUCUGGUGACUGGAAUGGUCUUCAAAACCAGCUGGGGUCCGUAUGGACCUCGGUAGGUUCGAUCCCUACCCGCUCCCGCCA
rnacentral:tRNA from 1 species